ACCUGGUUGAUCCUGCCAGUAAGUAGUCAUAUGCUUGGUCUCAAGAUUUAAGCCAUGCAUGUGUAAGUAUGAACUAAUUCAGACUGUGAAACUGCGAAUGGCUCAUUAAAUCAGUUAUAGUUUGUUUGAUGGUAUUUGCUACUCGGAUAACCGUAGUAAUUCUAGAGCUAAUACGUGCAACAAACCCCCGACUCUGGAAGGGACGCAUUUAUUAGAUAAAAGGUCGACGCGGGCUCUGCCCGUUGCUUGAUGAUCAUGAUAAACUAGACGGAUCGCACGGCCAUCGUGCUCGGCGACGCAUCAUUCCAAUUUCUGCCCUAUCAACUUCGAUGGUAGGAUAGAGGCCUACCAUGGUGGUGACGGGUGACGGAGAAUUAGGGUUCGAUUCCGGAGAGGGAGCCUGAGAAACGGCUACCACAUCCAAGGAAGGGCAGCAGGCGCGCAAAUUACCCAAUCCUGACACGGGGAGGUAGUGACAAUAAAUAACAAUACCGGGCUCUUCGAGUCUGGGUAUUGGAAUGAGUACAAUCUAAAUCCCUUAACGAGGAUCCAUUGGGAGGGCAAGUCUUGGUGCCAGCAGCCGCGGUAAUUCCAGCUCCAAUAGCGUAUAUUUAAGUUGUUGCAGGUUAAAAAGCUCGUAGUUGGACUUUGGGUUGGGUCGGCCGGUUCCGCCUCAGGUGUUGCACCGGUCGCCUCGUCCCUUCUACCGGCGAUGCGCUCCUGGCUUAACUGGCCGGGGGUGUUUGCCUCCGGUGCUGUUACUUUGAAGAAAUUAGAGUGCUCAAAGCAAGCCUACGCUCUGGAUCACAUUAGCAUGUGAUAACAUCAAUAGGAUUUCGAUCCUAUUGUGUGGCCUUUUCGCGGAUCGGAUUAAUGAUUAACAGGGACAGUCGGGGGCAUUCGUAUUUCAUAGUCCGAGGUGAAAUUCUUGGAUUUAUGAAAGACGACAACUGCGAAAGCAUUUGCCAAGGAUUGUUUUCAUUAAUCAAGAACGAAAGUUGGGGGCUCGAAGACGAUCAGAUACCGUCAUAGUCUCAACCAUAAACGAUGCCGACCAGGGAUUGGCGGAUGUUGCUUCUAGGACUCCGCCAGCACCUUAUGAGAAAUCAAAGUUUUGGGUUCUGGGGGGGGGAGUAUGGUCGCAAGGCUGAAACUUAAAGGAAUUGACGGAAGGGCACCACCAGGAGUGAGCCUGCGGCUUAAUUUGACUCAACACGGGGAGGAAACUUACCAGGUCCAGACAUAGUAAGGAUUGACAGAGCUGAGAGCUCGUUCUUUUUUUUGAUCAAAAUGUAAGGAAGUAUAUUGAAUCAAAAAUGUUUGCAAGACAAGCUUGCGGUACACAGGCUGGAAACCAGCAAUACAAAUGGAUUAUAUAUCCAGGCAAAAGGAACAGACUCCCUUGAGCAACCAAAGCAAGACAAGCUUGCAGUACAGAAAGUGAGCAAGGGACUGACUCCCUCGAAUGACAGCUAAAGGAACAGACUCCCUUGAUUACAAAGAAGAAACAUAAAACAUGGACAACCCCAUGUGGGUAGGUAAAAUAUCAAAGCUGCACUGCAGCUGCACAAGUUCUUCUGUUGUAGGUCAGAAGAAAAUCUUCUAGGCAACUCUACUCCAACUGUAAAGAUAGAGUAGUAACCCAAACAGCUUUAAAAAGCUCGACAAACGACCAUCAACCCUGCUAGCCACAACAAUUCCAACCCAAAGCAGGCAGCCAAAGCCAUUCCUCAGAGUCGGGCCCAUACAUCAGCAAGCAAAGCCACAUCCGCAGAUAUAGCUACUAGAACCAGCUAAUUGAUGCCCGCCAGACUGAAGCUUGCAGAAGCCACCACGUUCCAAGCUAGAGCAGCAGGUCUGGGCAGAAGCGAGAGUUGAUGACAGCAAAGUGACAUUGCUCCACAAAGGAGCAACAAACACAUCACACCAUAAGGAUGGCCUCACGUGAAAACAGAAAGGGACCCAAUACAAGGUCACACACAUCAGCAAGCUACACCACCAGGAGAUAAGCUUCUAGACCCGCUACUCCAAGAUGAGCAACCAAUUACAGCCGUGUAGAAUCAUGCAAAACCAUGCAGCCCAUGCAGAAAUCCACACGAAUGAAUAAAGCCCCCCAAACUGGAACCCCCGUGUGGAAAGGGACCACAAGCAGUGAAGCACUUAGGAGGCUGCAGUAGAAAAGCCACCACGUGGUAAGGAACCCCAUGUAGCUACAGAAGACGUGGAAAAAAACCAGCCAAUCAGGAGUCAUGCAAAUCAUGCAAACCCAUGCAGAGAUUCCAGCAGCCCCCGAUGUUGAAUACAUCUCCCCGAGAGUCAGAACUGAAGAGGCACAACCGAAGCUAUCAUCACAUAGCAGCAAUGGACAGCCACCAUUAGCUCCCACCCGAAGGAUGAUCUCCAACCAAAGUUAUUCCAGCAGAGUGCUGGAUUGUGACAUCCAACCAGAGACCCAAAACCGGGCCAUGCAACAGCAGGCAUAGAACAAGUCACCAUACGCCAGCUAUGGUAGUGAACCUUCAGCAAAUCAUCACCCGAAGACCAAUCAGCACCACAAUGACUACCUAAUUGAGACUAGGACAGCCUCCGUCUAGCACUCUCCCACCGAGAAAUGAACUGAAGAAAGAAAGCUCCUCCAAUUCCUUCAACCGAACCUUCAUGCUAGGAGAGCUGCGACAGAGGACGCUACAGCAGUAGCCCAAGCAUUUGGGAGAGAGCCUCAACCCAAGUUGAUGG